rnacentral:ncRNA from 1 species
UUGCUUCGGGCCCCAGGGAGGUCAGGUACAAUGAAACUACUAAUAGCUCAUCAGUUAUGGAUUCUUGAUCACUCCAACGUUACUUGGAUAACUGUGAUAAUUCUAGAGCUAAUACAGAUGUAGGAUCUUAAUUUGAGCCAGUUUGCUUCAGCAGGAAAAUAAUCCUACUGGAACAGGAAAUGUGAAUUAUUUUGUGGAUUAUAAUUAAUAGAAGUUCUUGUAGGGGUUGAUACAUUUCUCUUAAGUGAGAAUCAAGUGGAAACUACAAACUUCAGAAGCCUUAACAAACCUACACUACAUGUUUUGAAUGUCCUGCAUUGCUGGAAAGUUCUCCUGUAACAGGGUGAUCAAAUUAAGAUCCUACAUCUGUACAUGCCAACGAACGUUGUGCAUUUAUCAAACCCAAAACCCAUGUGGGGUCCUCUCGUGCACCGCGGACACUUUGUGACUCUAGAUAACCUUGAGCUGAUAGCGUGCCCUUCGUUGCAGUGACGUUUCAUGAUAAUAUCUGAUCUAUCAACUUUCCUUUGGUUCUUCUGUGCACACUAUGGUGACCACGGGUAAUGAGGAAUCAGGGUUUGAUUCCGGAGAGUAAGCUUGAGAAACGGCUAUCAUACCCAAGGAUUAAGGCAGCAGGCGCAAAAUUACCCGCUGCCGACUUGGGGAAGUACACAAAAUCAUAACUAAAUAGGACUCUCGAGGCCCUGUUAUUGGAGUGAACACACUUGAAAUUAUUUAACGAGGAUCCAUUGCUAAUA